rnacentral:tRNA from 1 species
UGUUCUGUGGCUUAGUUGGUUAAAGCGUCGGUCUAGCUAAUACGGAUUUGUGGGUUCGAAUCUCACCAGACCGC